rnacentral:ncRNA from 1 species
UAGAAAGUGACCAGGUUAUUGAAUUCCGAGGUGAGGCUACGGCCGAUCCGCAUCACUGGACGUUGUGCCAAGAAAAGCCGACCCGAUUAAACGCACCCCGUACCGCAAACCGACACAGGUGGGUGGGUAGAGUAUACCAAGGCGCAAGAGUGAAACCUGGUCAAGGAACUCGGCAAAAUGGCUCCGUAACUUCGGGAUAAGGAGUGCCCCUUCUGGGGGCCGCAGUGAAAUGGCCCAACCGACUGUUUAGCAAAAACACAGCAUUGUGCGAAGACGAAAGUCGAAGUAUACGAUGUGACACGUGACCAAUGCCAAAAGAUUACGGUAAGGUGUUAGCCCUCGAGGCGAAGCUCCGAGCCCAAGUCCUGGUGAAUGUCGGCCGUAACUAUAACGGUCCUAAGGUAGCGAAAUUCCUUGUCGGGUAAGUUCCGACCUGCACGAAUCGUGCAACGAGUUGGGCGCUGUCUCGACCAGGUGCUCAGUGAAAUUGUAACGCCGGUGAAGAUGCCGGCUACCCGCAGAAGGACGGAAAGACCCUAUGGACCUUAACUGUAAGCUGUUAGUGUUCAUUCGAUCUCGAUGCUCAGCAUAAGUGGGAGACUGUGAAACCUGCCUUUAGGGGCAGGUGGAGUCAUCAGUGAGAUACCACCCUUCGAUUUUGGAUGAUCUAACCCCGUGCCUUGAAUCAGGCCGGGGGACCCUGGCAGCCGGUCAGUUUUACUGGGGCGGUAUCCUCCUAAAGAGUAACGGAGGAGCGCGAAGGUUGGCUCAGCGCAGUUGGCAACUGCGUGUCGAGUGCAAAGGCAUAAGCCAGCCUAACUGUGAGACCUACAAGUCGAGCAGAUACGAAAGUAGGCCUUAGUGAUCCGGCGGUAGAAAGUGGAAUUGCCGUCGCUCAACGGAUAAAAGGUACCCUAGGGAUAACAGGCUGAUCGCGCCCAAGAGUUCAUAUCGACGGCGCGGUUUGGCACCUCGAUGUCGGCUCGUCGCAUCCUGGGGCUGGAGAAGGUCCCAAGGGUCCGGCUGUUCGCCGGUUAAAGCGGCACGCGAGCUGGGUUCAGAACGUCGCGAGACAGUUCGGUCCUCUAUCCUCUGUGGGCGUAGGAAAAUUGUGGGGUUCAAACUCUAGUACGAGAGGACCGAGUUUGACGCACCUCUGGUGUUCCUGUUGUUCUGUCAAGAGCAUCGCAGGGUAGCUAAGUGCGGUCCUGAUAAGCGCUGAAAGCAUCUAAGCGCCAAGCAGUUCCCGAGAUUAAUUUUCCCCGAAGGAUCGUGGAAGACCACCACGUUGAUAGGCUGGGGGUGUAAGCAUGGCAACAUGUUCAGCUCACCAGUACUAAUCAUCCGUUCGGCUUGAUUCC